GCCUGGUGUGGUGGCCCACACCUGCAUUCUCAGCUACUGGAGAGGCUGAUGUGGGAGGAUCACUUGAGCCCAGGGCUUCUGGGCUGCAGAGCAUUAUACUGACCAGGUGCCCACACUAUGCUUGGCGUCAAAAUGGAGGGUCUCCUGGGGAGUGGGGGACAACUGAGUUGCCUGAGUCGGGGUGAACCAGCCAGGCUGGAGAUGGGUCAGGUCAAAACUCCUGUGCUGCUCAGUAGUGGGACUGCACUUGCGAAUAGUCCCUGCACUCCAGCCUGGGAGACAUAGCCAGACCCUGUCUCU
rnacentral:SRP_RNA from 1 species